AAUACCUACGGGAGGCAGCAGUGAGGAAUAUUGGUCAAUGGGCGGGAGCCUGAACCAGCCAAGUCGCGUGAGGGAAGAAGGUACUGAGUAUUGUAAACCUCUUUUGCCAGGGGACAAAGGCGGCCACGGGUGGCCGUAAGAGGGUACCUGGAGAAAAAGCAUCGGCUAACUCCGUGCCAGCAGCCGCGGUAAUACGGAGGAUGCGAGCGUUAUCCGGAUUUAUUGGGUUUAAAGGGUGCGUAGGCGGAACAUUAAGUCAGCGGUAAAAUCGAGGGGCUCAACCCCUUUAAGCCGUUGAAACUGGU
rnacentral:rRNA from 1 species